rnacentral:rRNA from 1 species
AUUGAACGCUGGCGGCAUGCCUUACACAUGCAAGUCGAACGGCAGCACGGGUGCUUGCACCUGGUGGCGAGUGGCGAACGGGUGAGUAAUACAUCGGAACAUGUCCUGUAGUGGGGGAUAGCCCGGCGAAAGCCGGAUUAAUACCGCAUACGAUCUACGGAUGAAAGCGGGGGCCCUUCGGGCCUCGCGCUAUAGGGUUGGCCGAUGGCUGAUUAGCUAGUUGGUGGGGUAAAGGCCUACCAAGGCGACGAUCAGUAGCUGGUCUGAGAGGACGACCAGCCACACUGGGACUGAGACACGGCCCAGACUCCUACGGGAGGCAGCAGUGGGGAAUUUUGGACAAUGGGCGAAAGCCUGAUCCAGCAAUGCCGCGUGUGUGAAGAAGGCCUUCGGGUUGUAAAGCACUCUUGUCCGGAAAGAAAUCCUUGGCCCUAAUACGGUCGGGGGAUGACGGUACCGGAAGAAUAAGCACCAGCUAACUACGUG